ACGCUCGACACCUACGGGAGGCNGCAGUGGGGAAUAUUGCACAAUGGGGGAAACCCUGAUGCAGCAACGCCGCGUGAAGGAAGACGGUUUUCGGAUUGUAAACUUCUGUUCUUAGUGAAGAUAGUGACGGUAGCUAAGGAGCAAGCCACGGCUAACUACGUGCCAACGCCGCGGUAAUCUGAGCGGGCUGGCAAGGC
rnacentral:rRNA from 1 species